rnacentral:rRNA from 1 species
AACGAACGCUGGCGGCGUGCCUAACACAUGCAAGUCGGACGAGAAAGUUUCCUUCGGGAAGCGAGUAAAGUGGCGCACGGGUGAGCAACACGUAGACAACCUGCCUUCCAGUCCGGGACAACCUUUCGAAAGAAGGGCUAAUACCGGAUAACACUUUGGGCCGCAUGGCCCCGGGGUUGAAAGAUUCAUCGCUGGAAGAGGGGUCUGCGGGACAUUAGCUCGUUGGCGGGGUAACGGCCCACCAAGGCGAC